AAGCGGCCGCAGAGCGGCCCAGAGUUCGCAGGUCUGGGGCUCUCUUCCCAGAGAGCUCGUAGGGGAGGACAGUCAAGGGACUCAAGCGUCUCUCUUGACUCCCCUUCUCUCGCUGUGCAGUGGCGGUGCCGAGGGGCCGACGCUCAGGGCUAAUCUCUAUCAGUCACCCUCGAGGCCCCGGGUAAUAUUGGGUGGAUCACAAGAACUAAUCUUUCAUGAUUUGGAAACUGGAAGGAAAGAAGCACUUUUGUAGCUGACUCACCUCAAUGACAUGACCAGUGUCUGAGCCUACAACUGCGCUACCUUCUCUGGAUUUUUCUUCACCUUUUCCUCAUUCACGAGCCAGAACUGCAUGUCCAAGGAGUUAUACAUUUGCUAGAAGGGGAUGACCAAUUCAGCUCUGAGUUUCCUGGGAGCCAAAGCCAAGAGCUCCAUGUCCACAAAAUCGAAGACCAAGUACUCAGAAGAACAGCUUUUCCUGAUACAAGUAGUUAAGAGAAGCUUUCUCCAGGAACCCUCAUAGAGACAACCUUGCAUGAUGCAGUGGACAGCACCCUUAGCAUGCUCCACAAGGGUCAUUCUGCAGUCUCUUUCAGCACUGGAUAACGGCACUCUGUCUCAAAGGUAGACUCUAAGUUGAUAGCAUCCUUAGACUCUGUCCUAAUAUUACCAAGAACACAAUUUAGCAUAUGUACCCCCCUCAAUGGGGACCCUCCUACCAUCUUGCAAGAAAUCCUCUGUGAGACUAGACUUUGGGUGAGAACAGACAACAGGGAGUUGGAGGCUUCAUUCUCUGGCACCAGUUAGCCUGGUCGGGAGAAUUUCCACAUGCUUGGAGGUGCAGUUGAGAUAAUCCACAAAGCUGAAGGCAGGGUCAACAACCUCCCAUGCAAGUUAAGGACACCUAGGCAAGUGUGUGUAUGCCUGAGGGCAGGACCAACACAUUUCCCAGGAAACCACACAGCACAAACUGGUUAAGAAUAUGGGCUGUUUAGCGCUGGAUCACGCCUGUAAUCCCAGCACUUUGGGAGGCCAAGGCUGGUGGAUUACUUGAAGUCAGGAGUUUGAGACCAGCCUGACCAGUAUGAUGAAAACCCUGUCUCUACUAAAAAUACAAAAAUUAGCCGGACGUGGUGGUGCAUGCCGGUAAUCCCAGCUACUCGGGAGGCUGAGGCAAGAGAAUCACUUGAACCCAGGAGGCGGAGGUUGCAGUGAGCCAAGAUUGUGCCAUUGCAUCCUAGCCUGGGCAACAGAGUGAGACUGUGUCUCAAAAGAAGAAAAAGAGUGUGGGCUAUGAGGUCACGAAAUUUGGAUUAAAAUCCUGGUUUUAUCACUUUCUAGGUAUUUGACCUUGGGUAAGUUUCCUCAGAUAUAAAAGGAGAAUAGUAGCAGUAGCUCACUUAUGGGGUUGCUGAAAAAAAUAAAUACAAUAAUGUGGUAAACCAUUAAGGACAAAUAUCUAGUACAAAAUAACGCUCACAGAACAUUGGGAAUUAUUGAUAACAUUAUUGUAAUAUUUAAAAAUAAAUGAAAAAUAGGCACACAUUUGAACACAUGGAAAAUGGACAUUUGGAACUCUAGAAUUUUCUGCCAGAAAACAUGGCUACAAUAAUUUAAGUCUAGAAAAAUGUGGAAGGGGGAAUAGCUAUCCAAUAAAGGGGGAAUAAUUUUCUAAUAAAAUCCUCCCAAACACCCAUAAAUAUUACUUCCUGCAAAAUCAUUCAAGAAGUAUUUGCUACACAAUGUAACAGAAAACAAGUGAUUUGAUUCUACUUUAUAUAUCUUUGACAAUAAAUUGAUUAAGUCUUGGGUGAAAUUUAUGGAAAAUAAUUUUUUUUUGAGGAGAAUUGCUGUUUAGCCAUUCUUACUGAUAAUAGUCAACAGGGCCAUCUAUCUGAUGAGCUCAUUUCUAGUUCACAGCAUUGACCCAUCCACAGAGUGGAGAAUUGUGCCCUUUCAUUCUCUAGAGUGGUUAGUGAUGUCAGGAGUUGUAUUUUUGACUCAAUAAAGUGAAAAUAUUUACUUUAAAAAUAAUUAUCACCUGAGAGUGUCAUCGUCUCUGUGAAAUGAAAAUAAAAUCUCGGGACCCCCAAUUCACUAUGCCAAAAGGGAGAAGUUUGGAAGCUGAUUCACAACCCCCUCCUCCCUGUUCCCCAAAAUUGCCUUUCCUUUUGUUCCUAAACUGAUAGCUACAGAUAGAAGGCCACAUGUCUUCACAGCUUCCAUCACCCUGACAAUGUAAAUUAAUAGCUUAUCUUCAUGGGUUACAAGACAAGAGGAGACUAGAAGUUGUCCCCUCACCCACCUGAAAAUAAAUGCAUAUUUGACUGCUUCCUCUACUCUCUGUUUACUUUUACUUUAUCUUAUGUAAAGCACAGAUUUACUGAGUGCAAGAUGAAUACAUAGUUGACCAUUCCCUUUACCCCUCCUUUUCAUGUGCAAUGGGCAGAUUCACAAGAAUGUCCCCAAACCCUCCCUCUUUCCCUCCAUCCCUUUCCGCUCCUGCCCACUUUUCCCCUUUAAAUAUCGAAACCCUCAAAAUCCUGUUUGGAAAAAGUGUGAGCCACAGAUCCUACUGUGGUUUCUGUUUCUUUUUUUCUGGGUGCAUCUUAAAUCUUGGCUGAAAAGAAAAAAAAAAACCCUCUAAAAUGAUUGAGACUCACUUCAGUCAUUUUCUUUGAUUUAUGUCUCUAUCCAGAUGUGGUUUUAUUGACCACAGUUCUCCCAAUGAUUCAGUUUUAAGAUGCAGGAUCUAUCGCAGUGGCUCACACCUGUAAUCCCAGCACUUUGGGAGGCCAAGGCAGGUGGAUCACCUGAGGUCAGGAGUUCGAGACCAGUCUGGCCAACAUGGUGAAACCCCGUCUCUACUAAAAAUACAAAAAAAAAAAAAAAAAAAAAAAAUUAGCUGGGCGUGGUGGCGUGCACUUGUAAUCCCAGCUACUCAGGAGGCUGAGGCGGAAAAUUGCUUGAACCAGGGAGGUGAAUGUUGGAGUGAGCCAAGA